CCACCCAUAGCUCAACUGGAUAGAGCACUCGCACAUUGAUAUGCGAGAGGUUCCGAGUUCAACUCUCGGUGGGUGGC